UACGAAGGGGGCUAGCGUUGCUCGGAAUGACUGGGCGUAAAGGGCGCGUAGGCGGAUGGCACAGUCAGAUGUGAAAUUCCCGGGCUUAACCUGGGGACUGCAUUUGAUACGUGUUAUCUAGAGUGAGGAAGAGGGUCGUGGAAUUCCCAGUGUAGAGGUGAAAUUCGUAGAUAUUGGGAAGAACACCGGUGGCGAAGGCGGCGACCUGGUCCUUUACUGACGCUGAGGCGCGAAAGCGUGGGGAGCAAACAGG
rnacentral:rRNA from 1 species